rnacentral:rRNA from 1 species
AACGAACGCUGGCGGCACGCCUAACACAUGCAAGUCGAACGAAGUAGCAAUACUUAGUGGCAGACGGGUGAGUAACAUGUGGGUAUCUACCCUUUGGCCUGGAAUAACACGAGGAAACUUGUGCUAAUACCGGAUAAGUCCUUACGGAGAAAGCUUUAUGCACCAUUGGAUGAGCCCGCACUUGAUUAGUUUGUUGGUAGGGUAAUGGCCUACCUAGACUAUGAUCAAUAGCUGAUUUGAGUGGAUGAUCAGCCACAUUGGGACUGAGACACGGCCCAAACUCCUACGGGAGGCAGCAGUGGGGAAUCUUGCACAAUGGAGGAAACUCUGAUGCAGCGAUGCCGCGUGAGUGAAGAAGGCCUUUGGGUUGUAAAGCUCUUUCGUCGGGGAAGAAAAUGACUGUACCCGAAUAAGAAGGUCCGGCUAACUUCGUGCCAGCAGCCGCGGUAAUACGAAGGGACCUAGCGUAGUUCGGAAUUACUGGGCUUAAAGAGUUCGUAGGUGGUUGAAAAAGUUGGUGGUGAAAUCCCAGAGCUUAACUCUGGAACUGCCAUCAAAACUUUUCAGCUAGAGUAUGAUAGAGGAAAGCAGAAUUUCUAGUGUAGAGGUGAAAUUCAUA